CCCUUAGAUGUUCUGGGCCGCACGCGCGCUACACUGAUGCAUUCAACGAGUCUAAAACCAGCUCUGAUAGGGGUGGGUAAUCUUUUGAAUGUGCAUCGUGAUUGGGAUAGAUGAUUGCAAUUUUUCAUCUUCAACGAGGAAUGCCUAGUAAACGCAAGUCAUCAGCUUGCAUUGAUUACGUCCCUGCCCUUUGUACACACCGCCCGUCGCUCCUACCGAUUGAAUGAUCCGAUGAAUAUCAUGGAUUGAGGAUGCAAGUAGGUUCGCCUAUCUUCAUCUUCGAGAAGUGAAGUAAAUCUUAUCAUUUAGAGGAAGGAGAAGUCGUAACA
rnacentral:rRNA from 1 species